GGGAGCGACUUGGCUUCGACAGGAGUAAGUCUGCUUAGAUGGCAUGUCGCUUUGGGCAAAGCGUAAAAAGCCCAAAUAAAAUUAAACGCAAACAACGUUAAAUUCGCUCCUGCUUACGCUAAAGCUGCGUAAGUUCAGUUGAGCCUGAAAUUAAGUUAUACUAUCUAGCUUAAUUUUCGGUCAUUUUUGAUAGUGUAGCCUUGCGUUUGACAAGCGUUGAGGUGAAAUAAAGUCUUAGCCUUGCUUUUGAGUUUUGGAAGAUGAGCGAAGUAGGGUGAAGUAGUCAUCUUUGCUAAGCAUGUAGAGGUCUUUGUGGGAUUAUUUUUGGACAGGGGUUCGAUUCCCCUCGCUUCCACCA
rnacentral:tmRNA from 2 species